CUCUCUGCAACCUAGGCUUAACCAAAGAAAAGGCUCAAAAAUCUGCUACCAAACUCCACUUCCAUGCAGUUAAAUCCCUAACAAAAAUUGACAGCACCAAACAUGCCAUCCGUUUCAGCAACUCUGACAACACAGAACCGGAGUUGGCGGCUACCGGACGGGCUGGUUACAGGAGAGUGAGGCGCGCGCCUGGACGGAUGGCCGACAACCCUCCG
rnacentral:lncRNA from 1 species